GAUACAAAUUGUUUAAAAGCGGAACCAAAUCACAAGUCGAACAGUUGUCAUUUGUGAACAAGCCACUGAAAUUCACUUUCGGGAACAGUUUCAAAGAAGAUAAAGCAGCAUCAACCAAACCAGCGGUAUGAAGACUCUUCUAACAGUCCUCCUUGUAGUUGCAUUGGCUGGGUUACUCUUACCUCCAGGAGAGGCGAUCCUUCGCGGAGGCCGGGACAUCAUUCCGCACGAGAAAACCCAACAAGAGGCAGACACAUUCUAUGACUUCUUGGAAAGAGCCGGGGAAGUACCUCGUCAGCACAAACGAAAUAACGAAAAAUGGCAAGACGAAAACGAUUAUGAAUCCUGAGCGUGCAAGUGGUAACUAUGGUAACGAUUGAGAGAGAAGAGAGAAAAAUUAGAAGACAUUCCUAACUAUCCACUGUAAACGUUCAUCAAUAAAACUAGAUUGCUACAUGAAAGA